CGGGAGGCAGCAGUGGGGAAUAUUGCACAAUGGGCGCAAGCCUGAUGCAGCCAUGCCGCGUGUGUGAAGAAGGCCUUCGGGUUGUAAAGCACUUUCAGUCGUGAGGAAGGUGGUAGUGUUAAUAGCACUAUCAUUUGACGUUAGCGACAGAAGAAGCACCGGCUAACUCCGUGCCAGCAGCCGCGGUAAUACGGAGGGUGCGAGCGUUAAUCGGAAUUACUGGGCGUAAAGCGCAUGCAGGUGGUUUGUUAAGUCAGAUGUGAAAGCCCGGGGCUCAACCUCGGAAUAGCAUUUGAAACUGGCAGACUAGAGUACUGUAGAGGGGGGUAGAAUUUCAGGUGUAGCGGUGAAAUGCGUAGAGAUCUGAAGGAAUACCGGUGGCGAAGGCGGCCCCCUGGACAGAUACUGACACUCAGAUGCGAAAGCGUGGGGAGCAAACAGGAUUAGAUACCCUGGUAGUCCACGCCGUAAACGAUGUCUACUUGGAGGUUGUGGCCUUGAGCCGUGGCUUUCGGAGCUAACGCGUUAAGUAGACCGCCUGGGGAGUACGGUCGCAAGAUUAAAACUCAAAUGAAUUGACGGGGGCCCGCACAAGCGGUGGAGCAUGUGGUUUAAUUCGAUGCAACGCGAAGAACCUUACCUACUCUUGACAUCCAGAGAACUUUCCAGAGAUGGAUUGGUGCCUUCGGGAACUCUGAGACAGGUGCUGCAUGGCUGUCGUCAGCUCGUGUUGUGAAAUGUUGGGUUAAGUCCCGCAACGAGCGCAACCCUUAUCCUUGUUUGCCAGCGAGUAAUGUCGGGAACUCCAGGGAGACUGCCGGUGAUAAACCGGAGGAAGGUGGGGACGACGUCAAGUCAUCAUGGCCCUUACGAGUAGGGCUACACACGUGCUACAAUGGCGCAUACAGAGGGCAGCCAACUUGCGAAAGUGAGCGAAUCCCAAAAAGUGCGUCGUAGUCCGGAUUGGAGUCUGCAACUCGACUCCAUGAAGUCGGAAUCGCUAGUAAUCGUGGAUCAGAAUGCCACGGUGAAUACGUUCCCGGGC
rnacentral:rRNA from 1 species